rnacentral:rRNA from 1 species
GACGGAGGGGGCAAGCGUUGUUCGGAAUUAUUGGGCGUAAAGGGCUCGUAGGCGGAUCUGUAAGUCUGACGUGAAAUCUCCACUGCUCAACAGGGAGAGGUCGCUGGAUACUGCAGAUCUGGAGUUCGGCAGAGGACCAUGGAAUUCCAGGUGUAGCGGUGGAAUGCGUAGAUAUCUGGAAGAACACCGGUGGCGAAGGCGGUGGUCUGGGCCUGAACUGACGCUGAGGAGCGAAAGCCAGGGGAGCAAACGGGAUUAGAAACCCCCGUA